rnacentral:lncRNA from 1 species
AACAGGGCAAUGCUCUGCCUUGCAUCUAAUCACCUUGUCUGCUCAUGAAAUCAUCUGCAAAGUUUUCUGUAUGACAGUUUAUGUCGGAGAAGCUUUGCUCUAAAAUGGAGUGAAAGAAAACUUGGCUAGAACGCAGGUACUAGCAGGUUCCUCCCACAAACUAGGAAAGCCUGGCGUUAAAGGUUUUUUAUCAAGUAACUUUUAUAAUAUGAUCUAUUAUUUUACACUUGGAAAAUCUGUUGGGAUUUGGUUGAUUAUUUUUCCCCCUAGCUUAUGUGAAGCCAGUGUGUCCUGUUGAGGCAGCUUUUGUCUGGAUCCUAAUUGAGAUCAGCCAUGAAUCAUGCCACAUCUGUUGAUCAACUGGAACCUCACUGGAUAGGAAUACUGGCAUCCAUCCCUACAACAUGUUCCCUCUGAAGAGUUCAGCCUUCCUUCAAUCACUGUGAAGGGUCCAGGCUGUGAAGCAUGCUGGUCAGGACUGCCUUUAUACCCUGCUGGAAGACACUGCGCUAGGAGACGAGUGUUCUCUUCCCUCUGGGCCUGGGAAGCAUAUGUCGAUUCUUUCCAUCAUUUAGAGAAAUGGAGAGUCUGUCUGAAAGGAAUGCCCUGAUGUCAGCCCUUGAUCCAAGUGUGCCUGCAGGCCAGUCCGCCCAGUACUCUUCAGGUUCCUGAGCCUCGCCUGGAUAGACAUGACUGGGUCAUGAGGCUCUGCCCUCAUCAACAAAUUGAUGUCAUCAUCAUCAGAAUAGGCUUUUCUAAAAAAUUCUUAUUAAGAUUAGUAAGGACAUAAUGGUUUAAUUAUAGUCAAACAAGGGUUAGGUGUAAAGCCAUUUUCAUGCACAUAUAUAAUGUAUUUUGAGCAUAUCCUCCUAUCUCCUACAGCCUUCUCCUCCUUAUUCCUCCCCUUCCAUCAGUCACUUCUGUUCCUCAGUCAUCAGUGCAUAUAUGCUUUCAUGGAUCU